rnacentral:rRNA from 1 species
UACGAAGGGGGCUAGCGUUGCUCGGAAUUACUGGGCGUAAAGCGCACGUAGGCGGCUUCUUAAGUCGGUGGUGAAAUCCUGGAGCUCAACUCCAGAACUGCCUCGAUACUGGGAGCUCGAGUCCGGGAGAGGUGAGUGGGAACUGCGAGUGUAGAGGUGAAAUUCGUAGAUAUUCGCAAGAACACCAGUGGCGAAGGCGGCUCACUGGCCCGGUACUGACGCUGAGGUGCGAAAGCGUGGGGAGCAACAGG